rnacentral:rRNA from 1 species
CCUACGGGUGGCAGCAGUGAGGAAUAUUGGUCAAUGGGCGUAAGCCUGAACCAGCCAAGUCGCGUGAGGGAUGAAGGUUCUAUGGAUCGUAAACCUCUUUUAUAAGGGAAUAAAGUGUGGGACGUGUCCUAUUUUGUAUGUACCUUAUGAAUAAGGAUCGGCUAACUCCGUGCCAGCAGCCGCGGUCAUACGUAGGAUCCGAGCAUUAUCCGGAGUGACUGGGUGUAAAGAGUUGCGUAGGUGGCAUAAUAAGUAGCUAGUGAAAUCUGGUGGCUCAACCAUUCAGACUAUUAGCUAAACUGUUAAGCUCGAGACCGUUAGGGGUAACUGGAAUUUCUAGUGUAGGAGUGAAAUCCGUAGAUAUUAGAAGGAACACCAAUAGCGUAGGCAGGUUGCUGGGACGGUUCUGACACUAAGGCACGAAAGCGUAGGGAGCAAACGGGAUUAGAUACCCCGGUAGUC